rnacentral:rRNA from 1 species
GAUGAACGCUGGCGGUAUGCUUAACACAUGCAAGUCGAACGGACUCUUCGGAGUUAGUGGCGGACGGGUGAGUAACGCGUGAGAAUCUGGCUUUGGGUUCGGGACAACCACUGGAAACGGUGGCUAAUACCGGAUGUGCCGAGAGGUAAAAGAGAAAUUGCCUGAAGAUGAGCUCGCGUCUGAUUAGCUAGUUGGUGAGGUAAAGGCUCACCAAGGCAGCGAUCAGUAGCUGGUCUGAGAGGAUGACCAGCCACACUGGGACUGAGACACGGCCCAGACUCCUACGGGAGGCAGCAGUGGGGAAUUUUCCGCAAUGGGCGAAAGCCUGACGGAGCAAUACCGAGUGAGGGAAGAAGGAUCUUGGGUUGUAAACCUCUUUUCUUAGGGAAGAACAAAAUGACGGUACCUAAGGAAUCAGCAUCGGCUAACUCCGUG